UUCCGUAGGGUGACCUGCGGAGGGAUCAUUACACAAAUAUGAAGGCGGGCUGGAACCUCUCGGGGUUACAGCCUUGCUGAAUUAUUCACCCUUGUCUUUUGCGUACUUCUUGUUUCCUUGGUGGGUUCGCCCACCACUAGGACAAACAUAAACCUUUUGUAAUUGCAAUCAGCGUCAGUAACAAAUUAAUAAUUACAACUUUCAACAACGGAUCUCUUGGUUCUGGCAUCGAUGAAGAACGCAGCGAAAUGCGAUAAGUAGUGUGAAUUGCAGAAUUCAGUGAAUCAUCGAAUCUUUGAACGCACAUUGCGCCCUUUGGUAUUCCAAAGGGCAUGCCUGUUCGAGCGUCAUUUGUACCCUCAAGCUUUGCUUGGUGUUGGGCGUCUUGUCUCUAGCUUUGCUGGAGACUCGCCUUAAAGUAAUUGGCAGCCGGCCUACUGGUUUCGGAGCGCAGCACAAGUCGCACUCUCUAUCAGCAAAGGUCUAGCAUCCACUAAGCCUUUUUUUCAACUUUUGACCUCGGAUCAGGUAGGGAUACCCGCUGAACUUAAGCAUAUCAAAAGCGGAGGAA
rnacentral:rRNA from 1 species